CCCAAAAAAAAAAAAAACAGCUUUUCUCUUUCUCUUUAUCUUUAUUCAGUAAUUGUUGGGAUAUCUUUUACUUUUGAUUCUUAAAUUGAUUCCUAACAAAAUUGGAAAUUGGGUUCUUUUUUUUUUUACCUUAUACGACCUAAACGAUAUAAAUCUACUCUCUAUCCCUUUGACUUAAUUCUUAUAUACUUCCUCACAAUUUAUUUUGUUGGUCUCAAAACUUGCAAGACCAUUUUGGGUUCCAGAAAUUCUAGAAAAAAGUGAGAAAUCCUAGAAACUUGGGGAGCAUGAAGUGAUAACUUGUGCAGUGAUAUUCCUCUAGCUUAUCGGCAUGGUUAUUUAGCUUUUAACCAAGUAGUAUGGCAAGAGAUCACACGUAGUGCACAAGAUGAUUGGGUGGUCAAGUUGUAAGGCAAGCGCCCAGUCAUAUAUCUGUUUCAAAAAAAUGUUUUUGAUUGUCAUGAAUAUUUUCAGAGUCUGUAAAAUGGUUUGACAUUCACCCAUAUGUGUACUUUUUUUUUUUGAUAAGCAAGAUAAUUGAAUUUUCUGAUAAAUAAGAAAUCUUUAUAAAUAAUGCAAAAUAAGUAUUUUGUUGAAGAGGAAAAAGGGGGUUACCCCAGUAUAUAAGAAGUACACAAGAGAUUUACAUAACUAGCUAAGGGACAAGAUAGUAGAAGUUCUUGCAAAUAGAAAAAAGAAUGAGCAACACCAUAUUGGGCUAUAUUCCAAUGAUUCAAGGUAUUAAGAAAUCAAGACUUGAGAUAUGUCACCGGCAUGUUGCAAUCAUUGAAGCUAUGCUCAUUUCUCCUUACAAAGGUGACAUAAUAAGCAUGAUGGGCUCAUCCUCUGGAAAGGUGUGCAUUGAUGGUUACCAAACUAUCCUUUCUAAUAUGUUAGGAGGUCCACAUCUCAAUCUAUUCCGAAUCAUAUUUCUUAGAAUUCUAAUAACCUCACCAUGUAAAAGAAGGUGAUCCACCAAUUCCCCACUCUUUCUACCAUGCAAUAUCAAUGUAAUCACUACAAUGCCCUACUUCCUCAUGUUGUCCAAGGUAGGAAUAUUUUUUAAUGCUGCAUUUUCAAUGCCAUUGAAAACCAGAAGUCCAUUUUAAAGAACCGUUUCACAUAUUCAAAUUCUUCAAAGCGGAAAUUUUAGUUAAGAGAAGUGUUAGGUUCACAAGGAGUUCGGAUAUAAGUAUAGUUCACAAAUUGAUGUGGCUAAAUGUGAUGUACUGCAAAUCACAUCAGUUUGUGAGCUAUACUUUUGCGAUAUAUCUUUGUGAACCAAACAUUCUUUUAAGCGAAUGGAAUCACACUAAAUAAUACAAAAGAUAACUAACACAGUGUAAGUGAGAAUUUUUAAAAUUAAUUAUACAUAAAAGAGUAUCCCACAAAUUAAUGAAGUUAAUCGGUUCUAUCUAUAACAUAUUGUAAAGAGAACAAAUAAAAAAAGGACACUGGUUUAGUUGGGUGCUGAGUCCCAUAUUGGCUACUUAUUAGGUGAAACUAUGCUUGAUAAAUGGUUCUUGGGAAGCUUCAGAUUUAUUCUUCUUUUUAGCUCUUUCCCUUGGUUUUUAUAGUGGGUGAUAGAGAAUGCUAUACUAUAUUUACUGAAUGCUAUACUAUAUUUACUCUUAUAAGAUGUCCUUGAUAAGGUGUCUCUAGUUAGGUGUCCCCACUGCCGUUUCCACCAGCUCACUUUCUAGAAUAUUUUGCCACAUUGUAAAUUCUCCUUCUAUAUAUUGAAAUGAAUGGAGUAGGGGCUGGGCAUAUGAAACCAGCUUUUCUUUAACACAUUUCUUGUUUUCCAUCAUUUGGCUAGCAGCCAUCAUGAGGUGACUUCUUUCUUUGGCAAAAAAAUAUUUUUUAAAAUUACUUAUUGUACCGUUCAUAUAAACAUCUAUUUUCACAUCCGACAUAUUCGCAAUGGUCUCACCACUUUUACAAAACUUUAUUAAAAUGCCCUAUCAAAAGUUCCACUACAAUUCAUAGACAUUUGUAUGCUAUUUAUGAACUAUUUAUGAAAACUACCACUAUCCAAACAUCUCCUUACACAUUGGAACACUUUUAAUCAUAACAUUUGAGACCUGACUAGAGCUCAGACUAAGGCAUACUAGUUAGAAAAUGUCCAUCUAACCCCAUAAGGUUGACUUAAGUGUUAAGCGCCUUGGUCUUGGUAGUAUGCUCUCCCUCCUAGUCCAAGGUUUGAAUCCUCCUGGGUGCAAACAAUUGGGCCAUGAGACUGGAGAAAUUUUCCCCUAAAUAUUCAAGGUGCACUUGCAGGAAACUCUUUGCCGAUGGCCUAUGUAUCACCGAAACUAGUCAUGAUUUUGUUCUUAGAUACUUGGUGCCAAUAAAAAAAAAAAAGAAAAAAAAAAGGGUCAUCUCAUGUAAUGUCCUAAUGGAAGGCCCAAACCACGUGGCCUAUAUUCCAAAAGGACUAGCAAUGAUACAAUUGAAGCCCCAUUGGAACCUUAUAAAGACCAAAAACUUUUCAUCCUCAAGCAAUGUGGGAUCUCCCAUAUACCACCUCCCCUUAUUCUCUUACCAUAUGGGGGUAUCACAAUCCCCCCCUUUAAAUUCCAGAUGUCCUCGUCUGGUUUGUCUGUUGUAGGUGGCAUAGUUCAAGUCCUGCAAUUCUAGCUGGGAUAGCCUCUAAUACCAUUUGUAACACCUCAAUGGAAGCCUAAACCACAUGACUUAUACUCCAAAAUGACUGGUCAAUGAUACAAUUAGAGCCCCAUUAGAAUUUUAUAAAGAGCAAUAACUUCUCAUUCCCAAGCAAUAUGGGAUCUCAUACACCACUUACACUUAUCCUUAUCAUAUGGGGUAUCACAAUUUCUCUCCCUUAAAGAAAUCUCGUCCUCAAGAUGUAGUGUGUACUCAAAUCCCUUUGUUAGAAGGUCCUAAAUAUCUCGCUACUCGCCUUUCUUUCCAACUUCCUAAUUCUCUUCAUCGAUGCCACUUUCAGGAAUACUUUAGCAAUUCUAGGGAAAUUGAUGUUCUACUAACCUUAACAAACUUUCUUCUCAAGGGAAACAAUAGAUACACAAGAUUCCAUAAUUAAAACCAAUCUUUAUUAAAAAUACUAAAAAAAUCCAAAUGAGAGCCUACGAAAGCACUUAUUAAAAUCAACCAAGUCUCACGUGCUUAAUAAAUAGCUUAUAAAAAUAAAAUAACUCAUAAAAGAAGCAUGUCAAAAACAGCCAAGGCCUCUGCCUCGUCUCUCUGAUUCAAAUCCUGUCCUGUAGCUCCAUCCUCACAAAGAUCAUCACUUGCUACCAUAUCAUCAGUAGGAAGAGCAAACACUUUAGCUGGUGCUAUAGCCCUCUGCCCACUUCCUUCCGCUAAAACUAAUGCAUUCUUUUUCAGGCAAUCUUGAGCCAUAUGGUUGGGCUCCCCACAUUUGAAGCAAGCAUUUUGGCCUUGCAAAUAGUUUCCUGGAUGCAUCCUUUCUUAUGUCUUGCAAACUGGGUAGUAUUGACUACAGUAAGAUGGCCUUGGACGAUCAUUUGAAGUAGGCUUUUUGUUGUGAUUUGCUCGAGUAACCAAGUAAGUGAAAUUAUAGAUCCUAAGUGGUAUAAGACAACUGCGAAUCCUCAGAUGUAGUCCCCGCUCAAAAUUCAUUGCUUUCCUCGUUUCAUCCAGAAUCAAGUAUCUAGUGAAAUGUGACAGUGCUAUAAAUGUUGCAGCAUAACGCUCUAUAGUCAGAGUUCCGUGUACUAGAUCAAGAAAUUGUCUAGCUUUUGCUUCCCGAAGUGUUUGGAAAAGAAUUAGCCUAAAAAUGUUAGCUUGAAGUGACCCAAGUGAUAGGUACUCCUUUGUCGAGUUCGAGUUGCAGUAAUUCCCGUGUAGAAGAUCACCACUCAUCUGCUUCAUCUACUAGUACAUAGGUAGCAUACUCCACUUUCUGCUCCCCAGUACAGAAGAGAGCCCAAAGAUCUUCUUCAUCCUUUUAAUCCAUCUUUAGCAUCGAGUGCUUCCAAUUUGCCAUCAAAGGUUGGAGGAUGUUGCUGUGUAAACUGAUUUGGAGUGCAACCGACCUUGGGAGUCCUGGCUCCUAUGCUUUAACCGUUGGGAAAAUGCUGGAGAAGUCUAGUAGCAACAGCAACCAAGAUCGCAUGCUCGCUCAGUUGUGGUUCGGUGGACCCUUCAAGAUGCGCAUUGCUUCUAGUAGUUAGUGCCAUUCUAAACUAACAUCACAUAAUAUGGUUUGUGCAAAUAAGCAAAUAAUAACACAAAUACUUCAUCAAUCAUACAGUCAAUCAAGAACAUGGCAAUAAGCAUCAAACAUAAAAGUAAAUAACUUCUCUUGAACUUCAAGCUGGCCAGGAGUCAUAUGACAAGAGGAUAAGGGUAAGUGAUAUAUGAGAUCCUAUCAUUGGGAAUGACAAGAUUUUGCUCUUUAUAAUGUUCCAAUGGGGCUUCUAUUGUAUUAUUGAUAGUCCUUUUGGAGUAUAGGCCAUGUGGUUUGGGUUUUCUAUUGGGGUGUUACAAAUAGUAUAAGAGCCUAUCCCAACCAGAAAUGUGGAAUUUGAGCCGUGUCACCUAUGAAAGACAAACCCGACGAGAACUUCGGGAAUUUAAGGAGGGGAAGAUUGUGAUACCUCAUAUGACAAGGAUAAGAGUAGGUGGUGUAUGAGAUCCCAUGUUGCUUGGGAAUGAGAAUAUCUUGCUCUUUAUAAUGUUCCAAGAUGACUCUAAUUGUAUCAUUGACUUGUCUUUUUGGAGUAUAGGUCAUGUGGUUUGGGCCUUCCAUUGGGGCAUUACAUCUUAGGGUAGAAGGCUUCAAUGAUGUGGAUUGGGCAGGGUGGCAGGUUCACCUUUUUAGGAGUAAACCUCACAACAUGGGAAAGCAAGAAACAAAGUGUAGUUGCUAGUUGAGUGCAGAAGUAGAGUGCAGAUCAAGGGCUUAUAUUGCUAGUGUGUUGACUAUGUUAAAAUAUUUCCUUAAAGUUGGCGUACUAGCAACUACUAACAUUCUGCUAGCUUGUGUUAACCAAGCUGCUAUAUGCAUCGCCUUCAAUCGUGUGUUCUAUGAGAGGACCAAGCAUGUUGAAGUGGACUGACAUUUGGUACGAGACAAGAUACUAAAUGGAAACAUAUCUGCUGUAAAGUAUGGAGACCAACUUGCUGAUAUCUUUGCAAAGUCAUUAUAGAGUUGGUGGUUGUAAUUGAGUUCAAUGGAACGAGUUUCCAUGAAUUUCUUGUAUCACUGAAGUAGCACGCUAGGCGACACUCCUAUAUAUGUCCCAUAUACUUGGGCUUUUGCCCUAUU